GACGAACGCUGGCGGCGUGCUUAACACAUGCAAGUCGAACGGUAAGGCCCUUCGGGGUACACGAGUGGCGAACGGGUGAGUAACACGUGGGUGAUCCGCCCUGCACUUCGGGAUAAGCCUGGGAAACUGGGUCUAAUACCGGAUAGGACCACUGCCUGCAUGGGUGGCGGUGGAAAGCUUUUGCGGUGUGGGAUGGGCCCGCGGCCUAUCAGCUUGUUGGUGGGGUGAUGGCAUACCAAGGUGAAGACGGGUAGCCGGCCUGAGAGGGUGACCGGCCACACUGGGACUGAGAUACGGCCCAGACUCCUACGGGAGGCAGCAGUGGGGAAUAUUGCACAAUGGGCGCAAGCCUGAUGCAGCGACGCCGCGUGAGGGAUGACGGCCUUCGGGUUGUAAACCUCUUUCAGCACCGACGAAGCGCAAGUGACGGUAGGUGCAGAAGAAGGACCGGCCAACUACGUGCCAGCCGCCGCCGUAA
rnacentral:rRNA from 1 species